AGUCGUAACAAGGUUUCCGUAGGUGAACCUGCGGAAGGAUCAUUAAAGUAUUCUUUGAGGACCAGCGCUUCCACAGCGCGGUUUUCUAAAACCUUACACACUGUGAAUUUUUUUUCUAUGAAUUGCUUUGGCUGGGGAGUCUUUCCAGCCAGAGGUUUUUAAACACAAGAUUUUAUCUUUUUCUUACAAAACUCAGUCAACGAAGUAUUUAAUUACUAUAAUCUUCAAAACUUUCAACAACGGAUCUCUUGGUUCUCGCAACGAUGAAGAACGCAGCGAAAUGCGAUACGUAAUGUGAAUUGCAGGUUUUCGUGAAUCAUCGAAUCUUUGAACGCAUAUUGCGCUCUCUGGUAUUCCAGAGAGCAUGCCUGUUUGAGCGUCAUUUCUCUCUCAAACCUCUUGGGUUUGGUAUUGAGUGAUACUCUCUCCACAGGGUUAACUUGAAAUACUUAGGCAAGAGCGUGUCAGUAGACUUUUCUUGGACUGAAAUAAUGUAUUAGGUUCUACCAACUCGUUAUUACAUCCGGGCUAAAAAUCUCCAGGCAGCCAGGCUCGGCCUAACAACCUUUCUACAAGUUUGACCUCAAAUCAGGUAGGACUACCCGCUGAACUUAAGCAUAUCAAUAA
rnacentral:rRNA from 1 species